rnacentral:rRNA from 1 species
UUGCCCCAGUAACGGCGAGUGAAGCGGCAACAGCUCAAAUUUGAAAUCUGGCCCCAGGCCCGAGUUGUAAUUUGUAGAGGAUGCUUUUGGUGCGGUGCCUUCCGAGUUCCCUGGAACGGGACGCCAUAGAGGGUGAGAGCCCCGUACGGUCGCGCGCUAAGCCUCUGUAAAGCUCCUUCGACGAGUCGAGUAGUUUGGGAAUGCUGCUCAAAAUGGGAGGUAUACGUCUUCUAAAGCUAAAUAUUGGCCAGAGACCGAUAGCGCACAAGUAGAGUGAUCGAAAGAUGAAAAGCACUUUGAAAAGAGGGUUAAACAGUACGUGAAAUUGUUGAAAGGGAAGCGCUCAUGACCAGACUUGGGCCCGGCGAAUCAUCCAGCGUUCUCGCUGGUGCACUUCGCCGGCUCAGGCCAGCAUCAGUUUGCUCCGGGGGACAAAGGCUUCGGGAAUGUGGCUCCCUCGGGAGUGUUAUAGCCCGUUGCGUAAUGCCCUGGGGCGGACUGAGGUACGCGCUCCGCAAGGAUGCUGGCGUAAUGGUCAUCAGCGACCCGUCUUGAAACACGGACCAAGGAGUCGUCUUCGUAUGCGAGUGUUCGGGUGUCAAACCCCUACGCGUAAUGAAAGUGAACGCAGGUGAGAGCUUCGGCGCAUCACCGACCGAUCCUGAUGUUCUCGGAUGGAUUUGAGUAAGAGCAUACGGGGCCGGACCCGAAAGAAGGUGAACUAUGCCUGUAUAGGGUGAAGCCAGAGGAAACUCUGGUGGAGGCUCGCAGCGGUUCUGACGUGCAAAUCGAUCGUCAAAUAUGGGCAUGGGGGCG